GCAAGUCGGCCUACGGAACAUAAAGGUUAAAGUCAGAGAGUGUGGGACACUUGCAGUGACUGAAACAAAGGACAUGAUGUGUGGCCCAGACCAGUGUACACCUUCAGUUGAGAAGAGUUUCCAAUUCCCAGAAAAUGCCUGCUAUGAUGACCCAGCUGAACAGUCUGACGAGGAGUAUGUCGACAAUGUGGAAGAAGACCCAGACUGGGAGCCAUCUGCUGAUGACUUGGCAGAUCUAGACGAGGAUGGAGAUGAUGUUGAAAACGCAACUGUUUGGCACGACUGUAUAGAAGACCAUGCACCAGACCUAAUGAAAGAAGAAAAAUUCAUUGUUUUUCAGAGUUGUCUUCUGUCUCUGUUAAGGUUGUGCCACAUAUAUUCCGGGGUGUGUAGCAACAUUAAGAAGAAAGUGGUGGGCAGCAUGGUAAUUUUUGAAAGUGUUUGUGAAACUGGACAUUCAAGGAUCUGGCGUAGCCAACCGGUGGUUAGUGGUGCUCCAGUUGGGAACGUGUUAUCAGCAGGUGCCUUGGUGUUUUCAGGACUAUCACCGUCAAAACUUUUCAACUUUUUCAAAUUUACAAACAUUUUAAUGAUCAAGGAAAGAACAUUUAACAGAUACCAGAAAUCGUUUGUUAUUCCGGCAAUAGCGAAUACAUGGCAACAGAAACAGAACGAGACCCUCCUGGCAUGUAGAGGGAGAAGUAUUCGUGUAGGUGGCGAUGCUAGGUGCUGCUCUCCUGGACAUACUGCCAAAUAUGGAAGCUACACAUUGAUGGAUUUAGAGACAGGCAUGGUGUUAGCUACAGAAUUAGUAUAAAGCAAUGAAGUGAAGAACUCGAAUGCUAUGGAAUUAGAGGGGUUGAAGAGAACCAUGAAAGUUGUGGAAGAUAUGGGUGUGACUCUGAGCGACACAACCACAGAUCGCCAUGUACAGGUCCGAAAAUAUCUCCGUGAAAAUAAAGGACAUAUUAAUCACUGGUUUGACAGCUGGCAUGUUGCCAAAAAAUAAAUCUAGCAGCCUUGCACACCUGUUCAAAUGCCGGCAGAGCACAGGCCAUCACAAGGGAUGGGCAACUUCGUUACAGCUUGUCGUACCCAAAGUACAAAGGUGGAAAGCAUAUUGUGAAGCCAGUUAUG
rnacentral:misc_RNA from 1 species